rnacentral:rRNA from 1 species
UUGGUGUGAAUUGCAGAAUCCCGUGAACCAUCGAGUCUUUGAACGCAAGUUGCGCCCGAAGCCAUUAGGCGGAGGGCACGUCUGCCUGGGCGUCACG